AUUGAACGCUGGCGGCAGGCCUAACACAUGCAAGUCGAGCGGAUGAAGGGAGCUUGCUCCUGGAUUCAGCGGCGGACGGGUGAGUAAUGCCUAGGAAUCUGCCUGGUAGUGGGGGAUAACGCCCGGAAGCGGGCGCUAAUACCGCAUACGUCCUGAGGGAGAAAGUGGGGGAUCUUCGGACCUCACGCUAUCAGAUGAGCCUAGGUCGGAUUAGCUAGUUGGUGGGGUAAAGGCCUACCAAGGCGACGAUCCGUAACUGGUCUGAGAGGAUGAUCAGUCACACUGGAACUGAGACACGGUCCAGACUCCUACGGGAGGCAGCAGUGGGGAAUAUUGGACAAUGGGCGAAAGCCUGAUCCAGCCAUGCCGCGUGUGUGAAGAAGGUCUUCGGAUUGUAAAGCACUUUAAGUUGGGAGGAAGGGCAGUAAGUUAAUACCUUGCUGUUUUGACGUUACCAACAGAAUAAGCACCGGCUAACUUCGU
rnacentral:rRNA from 1 species